CCUACGGGAGGCAGCAGUGAGGAAUAUUGGUCAAUGGACGAGAGUCUGAACCAGCCAAGUAGCGUGAAGGAUGACUGCCCUAUGGGUUGUAAACUUCUUUUAUAUGGGAAUAAAAUGUUCCACGUGUGGGAUUUUGUAUGUACCAUAUGAAUAAGGAUCGGCUAACUCCGUGCCAGCAGCCGCGGUAAUACGGAGGAUCCGAGCGUUAUCCGGAUUUAUUGGGUUUAAAGGGAGCGUAGGAGGAUUGUUAAGUCAGUUGUGAAAGUUUGCGGCUCAACCGUAAAAUUGCAGUUGAAACUGGCAGUCUUGAGUACAGUAGAGGUGGGCGGAAUUCGUGGUGUAGCGGUGAAAUGCUUAGAUAUCACGAAGAACUCCGAUUGCGAAGGCAGUUCACUGGACUGCAACUGACACUGAGGCUCGAAAGUGUGGGUAUCAAACAGGAUUAGAUACCCCAGUAGUC
rnacentral:rRNA from 1 species